UACGUAGGGAGCAAGCGUUGUCCGGAAUCAUUGGGCGUAAAGCGCGCGUAGGCGGCCCUGUAAGUCCGUUGUGAAAGUCAAAGGCUCAACCUUUGAAAGCCGAUGGAUACUGCAGGGCUAGAGUCCGGAAGAGGCGAGUGGAAUUCCUGGUGUAGCGGUGAAAUGCGCAGAUAUCAGGAGGAACACCUAUUGCGAAGGCAGCUCGCUGGGACGUAACUGACGCUGAGACGCGAAAGCGUGGGGAGAAAC
rnacentral:rRNA from 1 species